rnacentral:rRNA from 1 species
CAGUCGCCACGGUAAUACGAAGGGGGCUAGCGUUGUUCGGAAUCACUGGGCGUAAAGCGCACGUAGGCGGACACUUAAGUCAGAGGUGAAAUCCCAAGGCUCAACCUUGGAACUGCCUUUGAUACUGGGUGUCUUGAGGUCGAGAGAGGUGAGUGGAACUGCGAGUGUAGAGGUGAAAUUCGUAGAUAUUCGCAAGAACACCAGUGGCGAAGGCGGCUCACUGGCUCGAUUCUGACGCUGAGGUGCGAAAGCGUGGGGAGCAAACAGGAUUAGAUACCCGUGUAGUCCCUGUCUCUUAUAA